rnacentral:rRNA from 1 species
CUGACGAGUGGCGGACGGGUGAGUAAUGUCUGGGAAACUGCCUGAUGGAGGGGGAUAACUACUGGAAACGGUGGCUAAUACCGCAUAACGUCGCAAGACCAAAGAGGGGGACCUUCGGGCCUCUUGCCAUCAGAUGUGCCCAGAUGGGAUUAGCUUGUUGGUGAGGUAACGGCUCACCAAGGCGACGAUCCCUAGCUGGUCUGAGAGGAUGACCAGCCACACUGGAACUGAGACACGGUCCAGACUCCUACGGGAGGCAGCAGUGGGGAAUAUUGCACAAUGGGCGCAAGCCUGAUGCAGCCAUGCCGCGUGUAUGAAGAAGGCCU